rnacentral:lncRNA from 1 species
AUGUACACUCCUUUAUGUGGGCGCCCCAAGAACCCCAACCCUUAAACUUCUUAUUUCCCUCUGCAUGCUAGCUCCCAGUAUUGAUCUCAUCCAAGAGUUUUGUUCACAUUUGUAGACUUCCGAAUCAUAUUUAAAAAGUCAACAACAGAGCCGAGCGUGGUGGCGCAUGCCUUUAGUUCCAGCACUUGGGAGGCAGAGGCAGGCAGAUUUCUGAGUUCGAGGCCAGCCUGGUCUAUAAUAUAAAGUGAGUUCUAGGAUAGCCGGGGCUACACAGAGAAACCCUGUCUCAAAAACAAACAAACAAACAAACAAACAAACAAACAAACAAACACACACACACAAAAGAAAGUCAACAACAGUGCUAAUCAGAAUUAAAAUGGCUUUGCUAUGAAGGUUCAGAUCUGUUGAAUCUUGAGCAAGGCCUCUCUGUUUACUUCCUGUGUAUUUCUUCGCAUUCUCACUGAGAGGAAGGACCACUUUGGUUUUGUGUGGCUUUUCUAAGAAUUUACUCAGAACUUUCUCUAUCUGCAACAAGGCUCAUUCACUUGUUCAAUCAACAAAUAUUUAUUGCGUCCCUGCUAGAGGCAGCUGACUGAGUAAAGGGACACAAAGAGGCAAAAGGCACAGUCGCUGCCCAUCAGAAAUCGCCACCAGUGGAGAAUUAAAUUAAUUAGAAGCCCACUAAAUAACUGGUCUCAGUUAAGCUGAUGUGGUGAGAACAGUGGGCCUUUUAAAAUGCUAAUAUAUAAUUCACUUUGCCAAUGUAGACAGCAGUUCGGGGGGCGGGUAGCUCUGUGGGAUGAACGAGGAUGCUAUUCUUUAUGUAGCAUCAUUGGCAUGCAUACUUACAAACGGCUUUUCAAAGGGCAGAAAUGGGUGUAUCUUGGUGUCUCCUCGUGGAGCUGGCCCAGUCUUGUUUAUAAAUACCAGCACCACAGGAUUUAGAAAGAAAGUAGUAAUGGAGACAUAGCCUUUGUCCUGCAAUCAGAGAUAAGUGACCUGUACAGGGAUGGAGUCCGGGUAUUUUAAACCCCAAGGUUGAACUGCAACCAUUCACCUGCUGCUAAUUCAUUCUAAUGGAACUCAACAAAGAAGUCUGUAUUUCUCCCAUGGUCAGUAUUAAAAUGUCUCUCAGAAUACCCACAUACAAAGCUUCUUCAACACUCUGCAGUAUGCCAGGUGGUGUCCCAGUCACUAAAAGAACAAUCAGGAGGUACAAGACCAAUGUCCCUUUUCAGAGAGUGGGGUCUGUCCUAUUGGUGGGCAAGAUUGUAAGAAUAAAAACACAUGAUGAUGGAGGGGUCUGAAAUUAUUAAUUCAUAAACAAGACAUGAAAACUGGAGGGAUGCAGGAGUCAUUUCCUGGAGUAUGUAAAGAUGGU